CGGACUAGCAAUCCCAUAAACCGUGGCUCAGUUCAGAUCGUAGGCUGCAACUCGCCUACGUGAAGUAGGAAUCGCUAGUAAUCGCAGGUCAGCAUACUGCGGUGAAUACGUUCCCGGGCCUUGUACACACCGCCCGUCACACCAUGGAAGUUGGCCAUGCCCGAAGUCGUUACUCCAACCCUUGUGGAGGAGGACGCCGAAGGUGGGGCUAAUUGCUGGGGUGAAGUCGUAACAAGGUAGCCGUACCGGAAGGUGCGGCUGGAUCACCUCCUAA
rnacentral:rRNA from 1 species